rnacentral:rRNA from 1 species
AGAAUCAACGCUGGCGGCGUGCCUAACACAUGCAAGUCGCACGAGAAAGGGGAGCAAUCCCUGAGUACAGUGGCGCACGGGUGAGUAACGCGUGAAUUAUCUACCUCCGAGUGGGGAAUAACUGAGAGAAAUCUUAGCUAAUACCGCAUAACACUUACGAGUCAAAGCAGCAAUGCGCUUGGAGAGGAGUUCGCGGCCGAUUAGUUAGUUGGCGGGGUAAUGGCCCACCAAGACGAUGAUCGGUA